rnacentral:rRNA from 1 species
UUGCUAGCUUGCUAAUAAUUCUCUAGUGGCGCAUGGGUGAGUAACACGUGAGUAACCUGCCCCCAAGAGUGGGAUAGCCCCGGGAAACUGGGAUUAAUACCGCAUAAAAUCGCAAGAUUAAAGCAGCAAUGCGCUUGGGGAUGGGCUCGCGUCCUAUUAGUUAGUUGGUGAGGUAACGGCUCACCAAGGCGAUGACGGGUAGCCGGUCUGAGAGGAUGUCCGGCCACACUGGAACUGAGACACGGUCCAGACACCUACGGGUGGCAGCAGUCGAGAAUCAUUCACAAUGGGGGAAACCCUGAUGGUGCGACGCCGCGUGGGGGAAUGAAGGUCUUCGGAUUGUAAACCCCUGUCAUGUGGGAGCAAAUUAAAAAGAUAGUACCACAAGAGGAAGAGACGGCUAACUCUGUGCCAGCAGCCGCGGUAAUACAGAGGUCUCAAGCGUUGUUCGGAAUCACUGGGCGUAAAGCGUGCGUAGGCGGUUUCGUAAGUCGUGUGUGAAAGGCGGGGGCUCAACCCCCGGACUGCACAUGAUACUGCGAGACUAGAGUAAUGGAGGGGGAACCGGAAUUCUCGGUGUAGCAGUGAAAUGCGUAGAUAUCGAGAGGAACACUCGUGGCGAAGGCGGGUUCCUGGACAUUAACUGACGCUGAGGCACGAAGGCCAGGGGAGCGAAAGGGAUUAGAUACCCCUGUAGUCCUGGCAGUAAACGGUGCACGCUUGGUGUGCGGGGAAUCGACCCCCUGCGUGCCGGAGCUAACGCGUUAAGCGUGC